UACAGAGGUGCCAAGCGUUAGGCGGAAUCACUGGGCUUAAAGCGUGUGUAGGCGGGUCGGUAAGUACCUUGUGAAAUCCCACGGCUCAACCGUGGAACUGCUGGGUAUACUGCCGAUCUUGUGCAACCUAGGGGCGAGCGGAACAGAUGGUGGAGCGGUGAAAUGCGUAGAUAUCAUCUGGAACGCCAAUGGUGAAAACAGCUCGCUGGGGGUUUGCAGACGCUGAGACGACGAAAGCCAGGGG
rnacentral:rRNA from 1 species